UUAACUAUUAUAUAGUACUCAGACAGCAGAGAUUCAAGGGUUUGUGUCCUCUGGCCGGCCCGCGAGGGCUAGCCAAAGCAACUGAAGUUUGGUAUACAAAGGGUGAGAAUGGGACCGCAAGGGUCACCGAUUCCUUAAUGAUCCUUCCGCAGGUUCACCUACGGAAA
rnacentral:misc_RNA from 1 species